CCUACGGGGUGCAGCAGUGGGGAAUAUUGGACAAUGGGCGAAAGCCUGAUCCAGCCAUGCCGCGUGUGUGAAGAAGGCCUUCGGGUUGUAAAGCACUUUCAGUGGGGAAGAAAGCCUUGGGGCUAAUACCCUCGAGGAAGGACAUCACCCACAGAAGAAGCACCGGCUAACUCCGUGCCAGCAGCCGCGGUAAUACGGAGGGUGCGAGCGUUAAUCGGAAUUACUGGGCGUAAAGCGCGCGUAGGCGGUCUGAUAAGCCGGUUGUGAAAGCCCCGGGCUCAACCUGGGAACGGCAUCCGGAACUGUCAGGCUAGAGUGCAGGAGAGGAAGGUAGAAUUCCCGGUGUAGCGGUGAAAUGCGUAGAGAUCGGGAGGAAUACCAGUGGCGAAGGCGGCCUUCUGGACUGACACUGACGCUGAGGUGCGAAAGCGUGGGUAGCAAACAGGAUUAGAUACCCCAGUAGC
rnacentral:rRNA from 1 species